rnacentral:rRNA from 1 species
AACGAACGCUGGCGGCAUGCCUAACACAUGCAAGUCGAACGAUGGUCUUCGGAUCAUAGUGGCGCACGGGUGCGUAACGCGUGGGAAUCUGCCCUUGGGUUCGGAAUAACAGUUGGAAACGACUGCUAAUACCGGAUGAUGUCGAUAAGACCAAAGAUUUAUCGCCCGAGGAUGAGCCCGCGUCGGAUUAGCUAGUUGGUGGGGUAAAGGCCUACCAAGGCGACGAUCCGUAGCUGGUCUGAGAGGAUGAUCAGCCACACUGGGACUGAGACACGGCCCAGACCCCGACGGGAGGAGGGAGUGGGGAAUAGUGAACAGGGGCGGCAAGCUUGACCCAUCAUGGCCGGGGGAGUGAUGAGGCCGUUGGGUUUGAAAAGCUUUUUUACCCGGGAAGAUAAUGACUGCCCCGGAAAAAAAAGCCCCGGCUACCUCCGUC